rnacentral:rRNA from 1 species
UGAGGAAUAUUGGUCAAUGGGCGCAGGCCUGAACCAGCCAAGUAGCGUGAAGGAUGACUGCCCUAUGGGUUGUAAACUUCUUUUAUAUGGGAAUAAAGUUUUCCACGUGUGGAAUUUUGUAUGUACCAUAUGAAUAAGGAUCGGCUAACUCCGUGCCAGCAGCCGCGGUAAUACGGAGGAUCCGAGCGUUAUCCGGAUUUAUUGGGUUUAAAGGGAGCGUAGGUGGACAGUUAAGUCAGUUGUGAAAGUUUGCGGCUCAACCGUAAAAUUGCAGUUGAUACUGGCUGUCUUGAGUACAGUAGA